UGCUACUUUACUGUUUUAGACUCAAAGGCAAACUUGAAGAACAGAAACCCGAAAGAGUAAAGCCUUUUAUGACUGGAGCUGCAGAGCAAAUUAAGCACAUCCUUGCUAAUUUCAAUAACUACCAGUUUUUUAUUGGUGAAAACAUGAAUCCAGAUGGUAUGGUUGCUCUCCUGGACUACCGUGAAGAUGGUGUGACUCCAUUCAUGAUUUUCUUUAAGGAUGGCUUAGAGAUGGAAAAAUGUUAACAAAAUGGAUCUAUCAUCUGUCACCAUAAUUGGCUGCUGCUUACCAUCACACAACACCAGGACUUAGGACAAAUGGGACUGAUGUCAUCUUGAACUUUGUUUUGACCGUGAUUUAUUUGGAGUGGAGGCAUUUUUUUUUUUUUUUUUAAAGAAAAAACAUGUCAUGUGGGUUGUCUAAAAAUAAAGUGCAUUUAAAUUCACUUUACUCCUCUUUACUGUGAUUGUUCCGACUAUGGUAGCGUCUGAGAAGCUAGAGCCUGGUUGAGCGUCGCUAGAAUGCUAAAGUCUCUUCAGUUAACUGCCACAGUGGGGACUCUACAAGAGUGGGAAUGCAAGAACCUCAGUUGCAGUGAAGGGAGAGGAGAGAAGUGGACCCUAACUUUCAUCACUUCCAGUGAAAGAGCUUACCAAAAGCACAAAAAGACUAACUAGUUGGAAACAAGUACUGUCUGCUGGACUAAUGUCAGAUUCCUGGUAACUAGAGGCUGGCAAGCUGGCCUCUGCCACCUUAGAGUUGUACAAACAUGACAGACCAUGGGUGGUGGCCAAUUUUUUAGAUGGAGGAAAGUCAGUUCCUGGUGGGGUGGGAUGUGAGGCACCUUGGUCCAGCUGGCUCAAGUACUGCUUGCUCAGUGUUCUUCUGGCUGUGUGUGCCCCAAAUAACUACAGAGUGACUUCCUGGGGAGUGCCAGAAGCCCAUGCUUCAUGGGGCUCAGAUGUUGAAG